rnacentral:piRNA from 1 species
UAAGCCCUAGGAAAAGAAAAAGGAAAAGUG